UUUACGUUUGACUAAAGUUUUGUUGCGAAAAUAAACUUUUAUAUUUUGAGAAAUACGAUUGGUACAAAAGGUAACAGAUCUCUUCCAAAAUCACAAAGCUAAUAUCAGAGAUUCACUCAACCGAUUUUAAUUCUCCCUUCAAUUACAAGAUCCUGAAAAUUACAUAAAUUGGUUUGUAUAAAGAGGGUUAUUUGAAGGGGUUUGAAAUGGGAAAUGGGAUUUGAUGAUGCAGCGAGCUUCCAACUUCUGACUUAAAGAAAUGGUGAGCAGUGAUGGAGCUGUGUGUUUGAGAGUCAUGGCUGUAGUAAUUUUGAUUGGGUUGCACAUGAUAGUGAUAAUGCUUUCAUUGAUUGUGCAGCUGGUUUAUGGCUAGAGUAGCAGACCCUCGUUUAGCAGAGAUCAAACUUAUUAAAGAAGCUCUUUGUUGAGUGAAGAACAAUGGUUACUCAAAAAUUUUGGUUGAAAAAUUAGGUUUUAGACAAUUAAUACAAUUCAUAUUUUAUUUUCAUAUGUCUAUUUUUGACUUAUUUUCUUGCAAUAUCUUUGAUUGACGGGAUUACCAUGUGUU